rnacentral:rRNA from 1 species
UGGGGAAUAUUGGACAAUGGGCGCAAGCCUGAUCCAGCCAUGCCGCGUGAGUGACGAAGGUCUUCGGAUUGUAAAGCUCUUUUUAGCAGGGAAGAUAAUGACGGUACCUGCAGAAUAAGCCCCGGCUAACUUCGUGCCAGCAGCCGCGGUAAUACGUAGGGACCAAGCGUUGUUCGGAUUUACUGGGCGUAAAGGGCGCGUAGGCGGCAAUUCAAGUCAUCUGUGAAAUCUCCGGGCUUAACUCGGAACGGUCAGAUGAUACUGCUUUGCUAGAGUGCAGAAGGGGCAAUCGGAAUUCUUGGUGUAGCGGUGAAAUGCGUAGAUAUCAAGAGGAACACCUGAGGUGAAGACGGGUUGCUGGGCUGACACUGACGCUGAGGCGCGAAAGCCAGGGGAGCAAACGGGAUUAGAUACCCCAGUAGUCCCUGAGCGGGCUGGCAAGGCGCAU